UGCGUUAGGGUAAUCAGUUCAAGGGAGAAAUAAAUCAGCUCUGACAUUCUAAACAAAGCGUUGCGCUCGAAGGGUAAUAAUCUAGCAGCUCUUUCUAAAUCCAGACCCCUGAAUGUUAAAGGAAAGGAAAUUCUGCUGGAGAAAUGUGUCGGAAGCAAAUGCCAAGUAUAUUCAGCCAACAGAGCACACGGCCAGCACAGAGCCCACCUGGCCCACAGCGAAUUACAGAGUGAAACCUACAAGAAAACAGGGUACUGCCCAUAAGGUUUGAGCUCAGCUCUCAUGUCAUCUUGUUACCAAGGUUAUUCCGUUUAGACCGAUCUUGGAAGCUUGGAAGACGGCUCAGUUCAAGGCAAAGAAUUUAAACAGAAUAUUAAACCGCCAUCUGAUACUAUCAGAGAAUUCCUAAUUUUAAUUGGAAGAAUACAAUAAAGACUGUAGAAAAUUAUCUAUAAUUGUUU
rnacentral:lncRNA from 1 species